rnacentral:lncRNA from 1 species
UGCUCGAUAAAUAUUCAAUUUAUUAUUAAUAUUUCUUCAAAAACAACAUUUUUUGCCACAGGCGGCCCAGUUCCCUCAUUCAGAAAAAAUAUCAUCCAAAGGACACCUCACUGACAUCUGGCCUCCAAGAGAGAGGCAAGCUUCUGUGUCAGGAGAGGCAAACUCAAAUGUCCCCAAGGAAUCAGUACAGGAGGACUGAUUCUUUCUUCUGUGGGAACUUUGAACAUGAAGAACCCUUGAGGAGGGGCUUGCCCCCCCCCCAAAUCAUGGUGCACCUGCAACUGGCGCUCUCUAAGCAUCUGUUUAUGAAGACACAGCAACACCAAAGCCAAUAUUCAGCACACGGGCCAAUCCAGUUCUGUUCAGUAAGAGGUCUUUUCUGAUUAGAUGGUACCUAUACCUUCUGGGUUACUUGAUAUUUUGA